rnacentral:rRNA from 1 species
CCCGAAGUAUCCUGAAUCUUUCGCAUUGUCAAUCAUACAAGUGCAUAUAAUAAACACAAAAAUCGAUGAUAAUCAUGCCAUUAUAUAAUUCCGAGAAAUUAGCGCACUGUAGUCAUAUAAAUCUAUCAAUACUUUAUCAAAUUUGCAGCAUUUAUUUUAUGUUAAAAUGCGAGCACUUUAAUUUGAAUAAACAAUAUCCACAAUUUUUUGAUAAAUUUUCUAAUACUAAUAGAUUACAAUGUCCUUAUAUGGAAAAAAUG